GGCUACUUAAUAUAAUAGUUAGUAUUUCUAACUUAUAAAUUAAAAGAUUUAGGUUUAAUUCCUAGGGUAGCCU
rnacentral:tRNA from 1 species